UACGUAGGGUGCGAGCGUUAAUCGGAAUUACUGGGCGUAAAGCGUGCGCAGGCGGUUUUGUAAGACAGGCGUGAAAUCCCCGGGCUCAACCUGGGAACUGCGCUUGUGACUGCAAGACUAGAGUACGGCAGAGGGGGGUGGAAUUCCACGUGUAGCAGUGAAAUGCGUAGAGAUGUGGAGGAACACCAAUGGCGAAGGCAGCCCCCUGGGUCGAUACUGACGCUCAUGCACGAAAGCGUGGGGAGCAAACAGG
rnacentral:rRNA from 1 species